UGUCCCGCAAGUGGUAACCGGUACGC
rnacentral:piRNA from 1 species